GGGAGAAGCCUGCUGGCCCAGCAUGGGGGAGGGGCCAGAGAAGAGAGGAUUCCAACCACGGCCAGCACGUAACCAUCCAGGACAUUUGGAUCUAAUCCUGCUACAACUUUGUCACACAAGACUUCGUUGUUUUCAUACGUAGCCCCAUUGGAGUAAUUGGUGCUACUCUUUAGUAGACCAUCAAUACUCAGGCUAUGUCUACACUACCAC